rnacentral:rRNA from 1 species
GACUUAGAGUCUCCUGAAGGAACGUUGAAGACGACGACGUUGAUAGGCCGGGUGUGUAAGCGCAGCGAUGCGUUGAGCUAACCGGUACUAAUGAACCGUGAGGCUUAACCUU